GACGAACGCUGGCGGCGUGCCUAAUACAUGCAAGUAGAACGCUGAAGAGAGGAGCUUGCUCUUCUUGGAAGAGUUGCGAACGGGUGAGUAACGCGUAGGUAACCUGCCUUGUAGCGGGGGAUAACUAUUGGAAACGAUAGCUAAUACCGCAUAACAAUGGGUGACCCAUGUCAUUCAUUUGAAAGGGGCAACUGCUCCACUACAAGAUGGACCUGCGUUGUAUUAGCUAGUAGGUGAGGUAACGGCUCACCUAGGCGACGAUACAUAGCCGACCUGAGAGGGUGAUCGGCCACACUGGGACUGAGACACGGCCCAGACUCCUACGGGAGGCGGCAGUAGGGAAUCUUCGGCAAUGGGGGCAACCCUGACCGAGCAACGCCGCGUGAGUGAAGAAGGUUUUCGGAUCGUAAAGCUCUGUUGUAAGUCAAGAACGAGUGUGAGAGUGGAAAGUUCACACUGUGACGGUAGCUUACCAGAAAGGGACGGCUAACUACGUGCCAGCAGCCGCGGUAAUACGUAGGUCCCGAGCGUUGUCCGGAUUUAUUGGGCGUAAAGCGAGCGCAGGCGGUUUGAUAAGUCUGAAGUUAAAGGCUGUGGCUCAACCAUAGUUCGCUUUGGAAACUGUCAAACUUGAGUGCAGAAGGGGAGAGUGGAAUUCCAUGUGUAGCGGUGAAAUGCGUAGAUAUAUGGAGGAACACCGGUGGCGGAAGCGGCUCUCUGGUCUGUAACUGACGCUGAGGCUCGAAAGCGUGGGGAGCGAACAGG
rnacentral:rRNA from 1 species